rnacentral:rRNA from 1 species
AUUGAACGCUGGCGGAAUGCUUUACACAUGCAAGUCGAACGGCAGCAUAGGUGCUUGCACCUGAUGGCGAGUGGCGAACGGGUGAGUAAUACAUCGGAACGUGCCCAGUCGUGGGGGAUAACGUAGCGAAAGUUACGCUAAUACCGCAUACGAUCUAAGGAUGAAAGCGGGGGACCGUAAGGCCUCGCGCGAUUGGAGCGGCCGAUGUCAGAUUAGGUAGUUGGUGAGGUAAAGGCUCACCAAGCCGACGAUCUGUAGCUGGUCUGAGAGGACGACCAGCCACACUGGGACUGAGACACGGCCCAGACUCCUACGGGAGGCAGCAGUGGGGAAUUUUGGACAAUGGACGCAAGUCUGAUCCAGCCAUUCCGCGUGCAGGACGAAGGCCUUCGGGUUGUAAACUGCUUUUGUACGGAACAAAAAAGCUCUUACUAAUACUAGGAGUCCAUGACGGUACCGUAAGAAUAAGCACCGGCUAACUACGUGCCAGCCGCCGUAAGAC